rnacentral:rRNA from 1 species
UUAAAUGAGAGUUUGAUCCCGGCUCAGAAUCAACGCUGGCGGCGCGCCUAACACAUGCAAGUCGAGCGAGAAAGGGAGCAAUCCUGAGUAAAGCGGCGCACGGGUGAGUAACACGUGGAUAAUCUACCCUAUGGUGGGGAAUAACCUUGGGAAACUGAGGCUAAUACCGCAUAAGUUCGAGAGAAGAAAGCCGAAAGGCGCCAUUGGAGGAGUCCGCGGCCGAUUAGCUAGUUGGUGGGGUAAGAGCUCACCAAGGCGACGA